UACGUAGGGUGCAAGCGUUGUCCGGAAUUAUUGGGCGUAAAGAGCUCGUAGGCGGUUUGUCGCGUCUGCUGUGAAAAUCCAGGGCUUAACCCUGGACCUGCAGUGGGUACGGGCAGACUGGAGUGCGGUAGGGGAGAUCGGAAUUCCUGGUGUAGCGGUGAAAUGCGCAGAUAUCAGGAGGAACACCAAUGGCGAAGGCAGAUCUCUGGGCCGUAACUGACGCUGAGGAGCGAAAGCAUGGGGAGCGAACAGG
rnacentral:rRNA from 1 species